AUGGCUCGAGAUAGGAGUUGGAUGGAUAUGAAUAGGGAUUCCGCGGAGUGGCAGAGUGGCAUUAAGGAAUUUUUAGAUUUGGCUUUUGAUGGUAGUCCUGGAAGAUCAACCGCUUUAUGCCCAUGUAGAAGAUGUCUCAAUGCUAUUUACAAGGAAAGGGAUGAAGUACAGCUUGACAUGCUCAUGAAUGGGAUGGAUCCCAGUUAUACUUGCUAG
rnacentral:rRNA from 1 species